ensembl:lncRNA
UGCAGUAAUGAAAGAAAUCACUGACACUAUUUCAAAUUCAUAGUUUCUUCUGAAGGUUUAAAGAAGAUGAAAACAACAAAGGAGAGAAUUCAUUUGGAGCUGUUCAGAAUGCUUGAAAGAAGAGAAUGAGCUAAUAUUAACAAGAUUCUUCUCUUCUGCAGUGGAAAUGAAGCUAGACACCAUAGAUAACCACUUGGUAGAAACCACUGAGGCACUCUAAAUUGGGAGGCUUUACUGGCAAUAACAGCGUUCAUCAGGAAACUCAUUACGUCACCAUUCAACAAUGGAGGGCCCCUUCAGGUACUGGAAGGUUGCUAUGAGGUCUCCUCAGAGCCUUUUGUUCUCCAGGCUGAAGAGCUCCAGCUCUCCCAACCUAUCCCCACAUGGGAGGUGCUCCAGCCCUCUGAUCAUCUUAGUGGCCCUCCUCUGGACCUGCUCCAACACCCUGAUGCCCAUCUUCUGUUGGGGGUCCCAGUAAUAUAAAUAUGAAUGUGAAGAUGAUUUUUUUCCCUCACUAUUUGAUUCAAAUCAUUCAUGGAUUUCACUGUAAACAAUUCCAGCCACAUCAAAGCAGCAUUUUAAUUGGAUGCACAGUUCGCCGAAACAUUCACUAAGCUUUACAAGGCUUUACAAAGAGUUAAUGAAAUAGUUUAAUACAGUAUCACAGUUAAGGAAAAAAAAAAAAGCUAAUAUAAAUUACAUUUAGCUAACCAUCCUACAUGAUAAUUAACAUGAAAAAUGGUAGACUCUUUUCCACUUCUCAGCAAAGAUUAAAUAAUUGAGCAUCACUACUGAGUAAGUAUAACAUUUUGGUUAUUUAACAAAAUAUCCAUACAAGACACAGAUUAGAGAAGUAUGAACCAGCACAAAGAAUUAAAAUUUUUAAAAUUGCAAUUUUUAAAAUGAAUGAAAAUAAGGAUUGUUUAAGGAGUUCUAUUUAAUGUUUCUCUCUAAAUAAGCGCAACAUCCUCGAUGCAAGUAUGAACUGGAAAG